GUUCAGAGUGAAAGCAACUGAGAUGUCCUACGUCUAAGACAUGUCAUCACGUGGCAUAAACGACCUUAGAGGAACUCUAUGAGUGUGAUCUGGAACUCCUUGGGGAAGUUCCUUGGGGGAAAGACACUAUGUACAUUGAACACACAAAGCAUAAAGAUGUCACCUGUGUGGCUGCAUGGACAUUCCGCCUAGGGUUUACUGAUGUUCUAAGAAGCAUUUUAAAAUGUUUGUUAACAGCAUGCAGUGUAUGGGAUGUUUAAUGGGCACCCUGCCUUUGAGACAGUGACUAUUUGACCUAUGUCUUGCUGCCUCAUCUGUAGCAAGGCAGAAUGGAAAUUGUGGAAGCUUUAUGGCACUGCUGAGAACGGAGCCCCAGUGCACACCAAUGGGAAGCCUUACCUUGUUCCAGCAGCCUUGGACUGGUCAGAACCUCAGAAGGAGGUGGAAACAAAUCCGGCUAUUUUACCAUUGGUUAAAGGUCACAUGCAGCUAUAGUGCAACGUCAAUAGGGGCUGUCCUAGCCCGUGGGACCAGCAAGCAGAGAUGUCCUUCCGUGCCACGAAGAAACAGUCUCUGCUGUGGCCCUAUGGAGUGCCGGCUGCUCACGGCUGUAAAUAGAAUCCAGCAUUUGUAUUGUCACCAGAGAGCACAGCUGUAUUGGUGAAGAGCCUUUACACAGAGGACACCCAUGACCCAGGGCACGGGCAGCUCUCGAGGCCCACCUACCAGUCCUGACUCAUCACCUCCAGCUCAGAUCAUCAUCUGCCCCAGCCCUGUUGGGUCAACCCUAAUCUGCAGCCCAGUACCUGCUUUCUGGAGGGGAGAAAUCAAAUCCUUGCUUCCAGGCUGCCAUCCCCAGCCCCCCCGUCCAGUGCCCAAGGAAAGCCAGGAGGAGCAAAACUUACCAUCAAGGCCAGCGUCCGGAUCUCCUAAAAAACCAACACCAGGCAAUCAGUUGAAGAGCAAACCAAGAGCCAAGUGGAAGGUUCUCACUGCACAGUCAUGGAAACAUGGGAGCUAGGCCCCUCAAAGGAGCGUGGGUGGAGGGAGACGCUUGCAGGUGGGCUCCAUGGCCCCCAGACUCACACCACCCCCACCCCACCUCUCGCUGAGGUUUGUAAUCACUGGAGAGAGAAUACGUAGCAUCUCCUAAGCAUGAUUAUACUCUGAGGCCGUCCUACAAUGGACUCAGGCACACCCUAAAUGGACUGCAACCUUUACUUCACUUUACUGAAGGGAAGGAAGCACCACCUCUUAUUCUUUCUAGUCACCUUCUGAGGACCCUCCCUUGUUCUUUCCUCUUCUCCCAGAACCCAGAUUUCAAAGUUGCCACGCACCUCCCUUUAAACAGACACAAUAUAGCAAAAUAUGGAACCACUCAAAAAAUAGAUCAGGGAGAUGAUUGUUGGCUUUAAAAGAGGAUUUUACACCUUGUAAAUGGAGUCACAUACGGACACAGACUCCUUUGAAGAAGUGGUUCUUGAGCAGGGGCAAUUUCUUCCCCCAAGGGAUAACUGGUCAUGUCUGGAGACAUAGUUUGGUUGUCACAGCUGAGGCUCGGGUGCUACUGGCAUCUAGCAGGUAGAGACUGGGGACGCUGCUGCACAUCCUACAACACACAGGACCGACUCUCCCCCCACCACAAAGAUUCUCUAGCCCCAAAAGUCAGUGCCAAGGCUGGGAAACCCUGCUUUAAAGGGUGGGGAGCGGGAGCUCAUGAACUUGAAACAGGGUUAAACUGACACGAAAGGAGAUGCGUUCCAGGAAGAUUUGCUGCUGCAUGAAAGGGGGUUAUACAUGCAUUAAAGAAAUGGGGCCCCAGCACCCUGCAUGGGCCGUAACUUGUGGGGUGCCAGGAUAAUUCCACUAUGGCACUCAGGGGCCCUGAGGCAGGAUAACUGGCCAGCUGGGCCCAGACAGAGAGCCCCGGCCACCUGGAUGCCAGUAAUGGGGCCAUUUCCCAGGAGGCUACACAGCGGGAGGUCAAAGGAGAGAAAGCGAGGAAGCAGCUCUCCUGGAAGCGCUGCCUGAGGGCCUGAGGGCAGGGCCCCUACUCGGCUGUGUGGAAGGGCCCCCUGAUCAGGGCAUGGUGCAGAGCCUGAGAUCCAUGAGGAUCUUGGCCUCUGGGCUGGACCCUGCUCACCUGGAGAGCCUCAUUGAUGUUUCCAUUGUAAUCCACCAUCUCUCCUUUCCCUGGUUCUCCCUUGGAGCCCUGGAAGGCAAAUGAGAUCUCAACCCACGGCCUGGACCGGGAGGGCCGGGAGGGCAACUGUGGCCUGCUCUCUAUCAGCCCACACUGGCUGCACCUAGCUGCACAUGGGUGGACCCAGAACAGCCAGCGGGGCCCUGGGGAUUCUGAACACUCUCAGAGGAUGCUCGGGGAUUGCAGAACAAAUCGAGAAGACUCCAUGUGAGAAGUCUGGGCUAGGCCGACCUGGGAAGAUUGGGUCCACCUGUGCUGCCAGUCAGACCUCCCACCUGAGGGCCAGAAUGCUCUUCCCCUCCUGCCUCGUCAAGACCCCAAGGUCAAGCCUGUGAAAGGGACAUAAAAACUUGGGACCCCAGUUCACUCUGCCAAAAGAAAAAAAGUUCAGCUGAAAGCUGAGUCAUGCAAGAAGCUGCCUUUCCUUUUGUUCCUAAUCAGACAGCUACAGAUAAAAGGUUAAAUAUCCCCACAGGUAGCUGCUCCAUGUUCACCACAGCUUACAUAAAGUGCCGAUUUACUGAGCGUGAGACUAAUACAUAAUCAACUAUUCCGCUACUUGCUCCUUUUCCCUUGCAGUGUGUGGAUUACCAUACCCUUCCUCUUUCCCCUCCAGCCUGCUUUUCCCCUUUAAAUAUUGAAGCCCUCAAAAUCAUCUUUGGCAAAAGGCACAGACCUGUCUCUUGGGCACGUGCCCUUAACCUUGGCAAAAUAAACUUCUAAAUAUUAAUUGAGACCUGUCUCAGAUGCUUUUUUGAUUUACCAGCCGCUUCACGCUGUGACUCCAGGAGGGAGAGGCACAUACCUUGGGGCCAUCUGGUCCCUGUUCUCCAGCUGCUCCACGCUCCCCCUGUUGCAUGACAAAAUUGGAGCAAAGUGGGGAUAAAGUUGGUACAGAGAGCCUGAUGUCCCUAGAUGGGCCAUGUGAUAAGGGCCAGGAGGCUCAUCUUAGCUCUUAGUCCAUAGAAGUGCAGGUUCCACCCCUUCAGGAAACAUCCAGGGAACACCCACCCACACUCCUGUCCCUCUGAGUCCCUCUGGGCUGCCUCCCACUUCAGACUCGGUGGCGUUCUUUCUGUUCUGUGUUCAUUGUUAG
rnacentral:lncRNA from 1 species